UACAGAGGGUGCAAGCGUUAAUCGGAAUUACUGGGCGUAAAGCGUGCGUAGACGGUUGCGUAAGUCAGAUGUGAAAGCCCCGGGCUCAACCUGGGAAUUGCAUUUGAGACUGCGUAGCUAGGGUGCGGAAGAGGGAAGCGGAAUUUCCGGUGUAGCGGUGAAAUGCUUAGAUAUCAGGAGGAACACCAGUGGCGAAGGCGGUGUUCUGGGCCAGUACUGACGCUGAGGCGCGAAAGCGUGGGGAGCGAACAGG
rnacentral:rRNA from 1 species